UACCUUUUGUAUAAUGGGUCAGCGACUUAUAUUCUGUAGCAAGGUUAACCGAAUAGGGGAGCCGAAGGGAAACCGAGUCUUAACUGGGCGUUAAGUUGCAGGGUAUAGACCCGAAACCCGGUGAUCUAGCCAUGGGCAGGUUGAAGGUUGGGUAACACUAACUGGAGGACCGAACCGACUAAUGUUGAAAAAUUAGCGGAUGACUUGUGGCUGGGGGUGAAAGGCCAAUCAAACCGGGAGAUAGCUGGUUCUCCCCGAAAGCUAUUUAGGUAGCGCCUCGUGAAUUCAUCUCCGGGGGUAGAGCACUGUUUCGGCAAGGGGGUCAUCCCGACUUACCAACCCGAUGCAAACUGCGAAUACCGGAGAAUGUUAUCACGGGAGACACACGGCGGGUGCUAACGUCCGUCGUGAAGAGGGAAACAACCCAGACCGCCAGCUAAGGUCCCAAAGUCAUGGUUAAGUGGGAAACGAUGUGGGAAGGCCCAGACAGCCAGGAUGUUGGCUUAGAAGCAGCCAUCAUUUAAAGAAAGCGUAAUAGCUCACUGGUCGAGUCGGCCUGCGCGGAAGAUGUAACGGGGCUAAACCAUGCACCGAAGCUGCGGCAGCGACACUAUGUGUUGUUGGGUAGGGGAGCGUUCUGUAAGCCUGUGAAGGUGUACUGUGAGGUAUGCUGGAGGUAUCAGAAGUGCGAAUGCUGACAUAAGUAACGAUAAAGCGGGUGAAAAGCCCGCUCGCCGGAAGACCAAGGGUUCCUGUCCAACGUUAAUCGGGGCAGGGUGAGUCGACCCCUAAGGCGAGGCCGAAAGGCGUAGUCGAUGGGAAACAGGUUAAUAUUCCUGUACUUGGUGUUACUGCGAAGGGGGGACGGAGAAGGCUAUGUUGGCCGGGCGACGGUUGUCCCGGUUUAAGCGUGUAGGCUGGUUUUCCAGGCAAAUCCGGAAAAUCAAGGCUGAGGCGUGAUGACGAGGCACUACGGUGCUGAAGCAACAAAUGCCCUGCUUCCAGGAAAAGCCUCUAAGCAUCAGGUAACAUCAAAUCGUACCCCAAACCGACACAGGUGGUCAGGUAGAGAAUACCAAGGCGCUUGAGAGAACUCGGGUGAAGGAACUAGGCAAAAUGGUGCCGUAACUUCGGGAGAAGGCACGCUGAUAUGUAGGUGAAGUCCCUCGCGGAUGGAGCUGAAAUCAGUCGAAGAUACCAGCUGGCUGCAACUGUUUAUUAAAAACACAGCACUGUGCAAACACGAAAGUGGACGUAUACGGUGUGACGCCUGCCCGGUGCCGGAAGGUUAAUUGAUGGGGUCAGCGCAAGCGAAGCUCUUGAUCGAAGCCCCGGUAAACGGCGGCCGUAACUAUAACGGUCCUAAGGUAGCGAAAUUCCUUGUCGGGUAAGUUCCGACCUGCACGAAUGGCGUAAUGAUGGCCAGGCUGUCUCCACCCGAGACUCAGUGAAAUUGAACUCGCUGUGAAGAUGCAGUGUACCCGCGGCAAGACGGAAAGACCCCGUGAACCUUUACUAUAGCUUGACACUGAACAUUGAGCCUUGAUGUGUAGGAUAGGUGGGAGGCUUAGAAGUGUGGACGCCAGUCUGCAUGGAGCCGACCUUGAAAUACCACCCUUUAAUGUUUGAUGUUCUAACGUUGACCCGUAAUCCGGGUUGCGGACAGUGUCUGGUGGGUAGUUUGACUGGGGCGGUCUCCUCCUAAAGAGUAACGGAGGAGCACGAAGGUUGGCUAAUCCUGGUCGGACAUCAGGAGGUUAGUGCAAUGGCAUAAGCCAGCUUGACUGCGAGCGUGACGGCGCGAGCAGGUGCGAAAGCAGGUCAUAGUGAUCCGGUGGUUCUGAAUGGAAGGGCCAUCGCUCAACGGAUAAAAGGUACUCCGGGGAUAACAGGCUGAUACCGCCCAAGAGUUCAUAUCGACGGCGGUGUUUGGCACCUCGAUGUCGGCUCAUCACAUCCUGGGGCUGAAGUAGGUCCCAAGGGUAUGGCUGUUCGCCAUUUAAAGUGGUACGCGAGCUGGGUUUAGAACGUCGUGAGACAGUUCGGUCCCUAUCUGCCGUGGGCGCUGGAGAACUGAGGGGGGCUGCUCCUAGUACGAGAGGACCGGAGUGGACGCAUCACUGGUGUUCGGGUUGUCAUGCCAAUGGCACUGCCCGGUAGCUAAAUGCGGAAGAGAUAAGUGCUGAAAGCAUCUAAGCACGAAACUUGCCCCGAGAUGAGUUCUCCCUGACUCCUUGAGAGUCCUGAAGGAACGUUGAAGACGACGACGUUGAUAGGCCGGGUGUGUAAGCGCAGCGAUGCGUUGAGCUAACCGGUACUAAUGAACCGUGAGGCUUAACC
rnacentral:rRNA from 1 species